GAUGGUCUCCUGACUACCACGUUCUGUGUCCCUCAGAUCCAGUGCUGAAUGAACAGACCAUCUCCAACACACACACCAAGGCAAUAAGUGGAUCCAAUGCAACAUGAUGGACAGAGAGGAGGAAAACCUUUGUUACCUCAACUUGUGACCCUUUCGUGGUAGAAACGAUCUGCCUCCAAGUCUACAGCCAUACUGGAGCAAGACGCCAACUUGCAACACACACAACACUCUUGGAUAAAACCUAAAUCUGUCACAACGUGGGUACUAGCGUUGCUUGGCCCCAGUCACACACAACGUAUCGGAUCCAAGCUAUGCAGUGUGAUAUUGCCUCCUAGAACUGCCCCCCCCCCCCGAAAUCCCUGCCCGCUCCCCACCCCGCCCACCUCAACUCCCCUGUUUUCAAAUAAGCUGAUGUCAGAUGUGAUACAGAGACUGACUCCAGGUCAGUUUGGCACUGGUGUUGUGCUGUGAGAUGUGUGUUGGUCAGUAUGGAGCUGCACUGGCCUGGGGUCAGAGCUAUAAUAGCACUGAGUGGCAUGGAGGCUCUUUUCUGCUAUGGAUAGAACAAAUACUAUAUUAAAGAGAAUAAACCAUUUUUAUU